rfam:Stachybotrys chartarum IBT 40288 unplaced genomic scaffold C40866, whole genome shotgun sequence.
GUUUCUAUAGCUCAACGGUAGAGCAUGAUACUGUUAAUAUUAUGAUAGAUGUUCGAUUCAUCUUAGAAGCU